UACGGGGGGGGCAAGCGUUGUUCGGAUUUACUGGGCGUAAGGGGCGCGUAGGCGGUCAGCACAAGUCAGUUGUGAAAUCUCCGGGCUUAACUCGGAAAGGUCAACUGAUACUGUGCGACUAGAGUGCAGAAGGGGCAACUGGAAUUCUCGGUGUAGCGGUGAAAUGCGUAGAUAUCGAGAGGAACACCUGCGGCGAAGGCGGGUUGCUGGGCUGACACUGACGCUGAGGCGCGAAAGCCAGGGGAGCGAACGGG
rnacentral:rRNA from 1 species